AUAGCAGUACAAUUUCCACAAUGCCCGUUUUGUUUUGUUCUUGGAAAAAGUUAUCAAAAACAAGUUUUUGUUUAAAUUAAGGUGAAUUCAUGGUUCCUUUUUCCACAUAAUGUAACCGGUAGUGCUUAUGAUUAAAAUAAUUAUGUGAUCGGUAUCGGUGAUCGGCCCUCAUGGGUGAUCGGAAUUGGCAAGAAAAAACCUGAUCGACAUUUCUAUACUUACUUGCUAG